rnacentral:rRNA from 1 species
UGAGGAAUAUUGAGCAAUGGGCGCAAGCCUGACUCAGCAACGCCGCGUGGAUGACGAAGGCCUUCGGGGUUGUAAAAUCCUUUUCUGGGGGAAGAUAAUGACGGUACCCCAGGAAUAAGUUCCGGCUAACUACGUGCCAGCAGCCGCGGUAAAACGUAGGGGACGAGCGUUAUCCGGAUUUACUGGGCGUAAAGCGCAUGUAGGUGGCGCGGAAAGUUGGACGUGAAAGCUCCCGGCUUAACUGGGAGAGGUCGUACAAAACUUCCGAGCUUGAGGAUGGAAGAGGAGAGCGGAAUUCCCGGUGUAGUGGUGGAAUGCGUAGAUAUCGGGAGGAACACCAGUGGCGAAAGCGGCUCUCUGGUUCAUUUCUGACACUGAGAUGCGAAAGCGUGGGGAGCGAACGGGAUUAGAUACCCCGGUAGUCCACGCUGUAAACGAUGGCUACUAGGUGUAGGCGGUCAUUAACCCCGUCUGUGCCGAAGCAAACGCGUUAAGUAGCCCGCCUGGGGACUACGGCCGCAAGGUUAA